rnacentral:lncRNA from 1 species
GUGGUUUUCUGUUAAAAGGUGACUGUUUUAUGGUCUCUUUAGAGUGAAAAGUCAACUCAGUCAAAGGAUUACUAGAAUGGGUACUCAGACAAAAAAGGAAAGAAGGGAGCAGUAGGCGUUUACAUCAGUCUUAGACUCUUGCUUGGGGUACCUCUUACAUCUUUAAUUUUUCAUUAGCAUUUUGCAACACAUCUUUCAGUGAUUUAAAUUUUUUGUUUGUUUGUUUGUUUUUGGCCACACUGGUGGCAUGUGGAAGUUCCCAGGUCAGGAACUGAGCUGCUGUGGUGAUAAUAUUGGAUCUUCAACCUGCUGUGCCACAUGGGAACUCCCUCAGUGAAGCUAUUCUGCAAUCUUGAAGCUUUUUGGAAACUUGUACAUACCAAUUAAAAGAUAGGAAUUCUAGGAGUUCCCUAGUAGCUCAGUGAGUUAAAGGAUUCAGUAUUGUCACUUCUGUGGCCUGGGCCACUGUUUUGAUGUGGUUCAAUCCUUGUCCUGGAACUUCUGCAUGCCACAAGCCCAGCCAAAAAAUAAAGGGAAUUCUAGAGUUCCCUUCAUGGUGCAGUGGAAAAGAAUUGGACUAGGAACCAUGAGGUUGCAGGUUCGAUCCCUGGCCUCACUCAGUGAUUAAGGAUCUGGCAUUGCCAUGCGAUGUGGUGUAGGUCACAGAUGUGGCUUUGAUUCUGCAUUGCUGUGGCUGUGACGUUGGCCGGCAGCUAUAGUUCCCCAAGCAUGGGAACCUCUAUAUGCUGUGGGUUUGGCCCUAAAAAAAACAAACAAACCAAAAAACAACAAAAAAAGGGAAUUCCAUUCUGUUUGCUUAUGUGGGAACUCUCACUUUCAAGUGCACAUCUUGAAUGAUCCUGUCUAAAUGGAACAUUCCUCACAAUGGCUAUUGUAAUUCUGGGUUGUUUUUAGUAAGAUUUUGCCAUUUUUGUUGUUAUUGACAGCUUCUGGGACCAUGUAAUUAUUAGAAAUAAAAUAAGCAGGUGUGCUGGAAGGUGAUAGGCUUAACUCUUUGGAUUUUAAGGAUCCCAUUUGUUUUAGCUAAAUCUUUGGGUCUCUUGGAGCCAAAUAAAUACCUGAGAGGGAUGUGCCAUGUGGUCAGGGAUUGUGUGACACAGAAAUCUUACUGAGAUUGGAGAGUGACCUAGUGUCCAUCUAAGCCAUUCCAUGACCAACUUCUCCUUGUAUAGGAGUCUCUGGGUUAGGAUGUGUGUUCCACAGCAGCUUUCAAAUGCUUAAUCUUUACCCACCAAUUUUGCAUUUUUUUGAUUUUGAGAUCCCCAAUAGCAAUUGCCUUUACCUCAUGUGUAUAUUAACACAGCAGCAGUAAUCAACAAACUAGGGACUGGGAAAGGACUGAACUAGCAGACCCAAAGGGACUGCAGACUGAUGGCCAAACAAAAGGGAAACUGCAUCUACAAAAAGGAAGAUAAGCAAUCUACAUGAUAACAAGUUCAAAGAAAUGGUCAGCAUUAUUCUGAUACAAAGACCAGACAAGAACGCCACAAAAAAGAAAAUUAUAGGUCAGUAUUCCUGAUGAACAUAGAUCCGAAAGCUUCAAUAAAAUAUUGGCAAAACGAAUUCAAUGAUACAUUGAAAGUAUCAUAUACCACAUCAAAUGGGAUUUAUUGCAGGGAUGCAAGGAUGGUUCAAUAUUUGCAAACCAAUCAAUGUGAUGCACCUUAUUAACAAAAUUAAGGAUUAAAAAAAUCAUAUGAGGAGUUCUCGUCAUGGCGCAGUGGUUAAUGAAUCCUACUAGGAACCCUGAGGUUGCAGGUUCAAUCCCUGCCUUUGCUCAGUGGGUUAACGAUCCUAUUAGCGUUGCUGUGAGCUGUGGUGUAGGUUGCAGAUGCGGCUCGGAUCCUGCGUUGCUGUGGCUCUGGCGUAGGCCGGCAGCUACAGCUCCGAUUGGACCCCUAACCUGGGAACCUCCAUAUGCCGCGGGAGCAAAAAGACAGGAAAAAAAAAUCGUAUGAGUAUCUCAAAAGCAUUUGAUAAAAAUAAUACCUAUUGAUGAUAAAAAUUCUCAACAAAGUAGGUAUAGAGUACUUCAACAUAAUAAAGCCCAUAUCAUGAGAAACCCACAGCUAACAUCAUAUUCAGCAGUGAAAAGCUGAAAGCAUUUCCUUUAAGAUCAGGAACAAGGCAAGCAUGCUCACCUUCACCACUUUUAUUCAAUCUAAUAUUGGAAGACUAGCCAUAGCAGUUAGGAAAGUAAAAGAAAUAGAAGACAUCCAAAUCAGAAAAGAAGUAAAACUGUCACUAUUUGCAAAUGGCAUGAUACUAUACAUGGGAAACCUUAAAGACUCCACCAAAAGAAAAAAAAGUUGGAACUCAUCAAUGAAUUCAGAAAGUUGUAGGAUAUAAAAUUAAUAUGCAGAAAUCUGAUAUCAAGUCAUCAAAAUGAAAAGACAGCCUAUUGAGUGGGAGAAUAUAUUUGCAAAUCAUAUAUCCAGUAAGUGCUUAAUAUCUAAUAUAUAUAUAUAAAGAAUUCAUAUAACUGGAUAAUGAAGAACCAAACAACCCAAUUAAAAGUGCUACCAUAAGAUCUAUAUAGACAUUUUUCUGAAGAAGACAUAGCAAUGGCCAGUAAGCACAUGGAAAUAUAUUCACUGUCCCUAAAUGUUAGUGAAAUUCUAAUCAAAACCACAAGGAGAUAUCUUCACACCUGUUAGAAUGGCUAUUAUCAAAAAGCAAUAAGUAGCAAAUAUUGGAGAGUAUGUGGAGAAAAGGGAACUUUUUUAUACUUGUGGGAUUAUAAAUUGGUGCAGCUACUAUGGAAAAUAAUAUGGCGAUUGCUCAAAAAAUCAAGAGUAGAACUACCGUAUGAUCUAGCUAAUCCACUUCUGAGUAUUUUUUCAAAGAAUAUGAAACACUAAUUCAGUGAGAUAUUUGUGUCUCUAUGCUCGUUGCAGCAUUAUUUACUAUAGCCAAGAUAUAUAAACAACCUAAGUGUCCAUCCAUGGAUAGAUUGGGUAAAGAAAAUAUAGUGUAUGCAUGUGUGUGUGUGUGUGUGUGUGUGUGUGUCAUAUGAUUUCACUCAUAUUUGGAGCGAAAAUCAAAAACACAUGUACAAACAAAUGAAGACAGGAGUUUCCGUCGUGGCUCAGUAGUUAACAAAUCUGACUGGGAACCAUGAGGUUUUGGGUUUGAUCCCUGGCCAUGCUCAGUGAGUUAAGGAUUUGGCGUUGCUGUGAGCUGUGGUGUAGGUCACAGACGCAGCUUGGAUCCCGCAUUGCUGUGGCUGUGGUGUAGGCUGGUGGCUACAGCUCUGAUUCUACCCCUAGCCUGGGAACCUCCAUAUGCCGUGGGAGCGGCC